rnacentral:lncRNA from 1 species
UCUUUAUCUUUCUCGUAGUUGACACGGCAACCGACCGAGAUAACUGAGCAAGAUCCGGCUUCUAAUAUCGCUGAGCGAGAGGCAAGAAGGAGCGGAGGCAAGCAUUACGAACACAAGGAGCAAGUAGGCCCUCUGGUGCACCUCGUGAAGGCGCAACCCGUGAUGAUCUGAGGACCCAUCGGAUGAUUGCAGCCACCACGCAGCAGGAGUAGAGCAUGCCAGUGGCAAGGAGGAAGUUGCCAGCUCCAGUUCCACUACCUCGAACAAGUGGCUGGCUUCUCUACCGGAGCUUGUGCAGUCGCUCGCACACCUCCUCGACAACAACGAGAGUUCCCAUGACGCUGAAGUUCAGGUUGCCAAUUGCUUGGCCACAUAUGGAGCAGCUAGUGAGCAGUUCACGAAGGGAGCUCUCAAACACAAUGAACUCUCGUUCCCUGGGUAGAGGCUGCAGUGCUAUUGUCUUGAUGAAUAUUGCAGAUGAAUGACCCGACAAAACAUGGUAGUGCUUGUGUGUUACUCAGUAUUACACAAUGGAUAAGUUCCAUGACUUGGUUGAAAGAAAGAAGUGAAAAUUUUAAGGCUUCAUUUUUCUUUGCUAGACAUAAUAUUAAUGAGAACUGACCUACCAUAAUGCCAUAAAAAGUAUAGGGGACACUAAUUAUAGUAAAUGUAAUAUAAAUGAGAAGAAAUUAAGGUGGACAAAAAAACUGCUUGCCAUGAGCUGCGACUGAACGUGUGACCGUCACAUAGCACGUCCGAUGCUCUACCCGAUAAGCUAACACGGCGGCCAUUCCCUCAUCCUCUUUAUGCAGUUAUAUGUGCAUUUACUAGUGGCAGCAUGAGUUAGCGCUACUAGCAGCCAUGACUGCGAGUGUGAAACACUCUUUUUCUGCCUGUUGGUGUCGCGUGGCACGUGGUGGUGCUGAUUGACGCACCUGCGUUUAAGUGCACAUAUAUCCCCCAUAAAUUGGAUGAAGGAAUGGCUGCCGUGAUAGCUCAAUCAGUAGAGCAUCGGAUGUGUUACUCGAAGUUCACUAGUUCAGUUCCAGCUCACGAAAAUCAAUCUUUUCAUCCACCUUUAUUUGUUCACAUUUACAUUACAUUUACAACUAAUAACGUCCCCUAUACUUUCUUUGGCACUAUUGUUCGUUAGUUCUCAUUAAUACAGCUUGGUUGGGGUUAGUAGUAACUGACAGACAAUUAUGCCAAAGAAAGUAUAGGGGAUGUUAUAAGUGGACGAAAAGAUAACUUGCCGUGAGCAGGGACCGAACCUGUGACCUUCGAAUAACACGUCCUACACUCUACCAACUGCGCUACCAUGCCGGCCAUCCCCCUGUCCACUUUAUGGGAUACGUAUGUGCGUUUAAAUGUGGGAGUGUCAGUCAGCGCUGCCUGUUGCCAUUGCAGUGAUUGUGGGACAGUGUGUCCGAUGGGGGUGAGGUUGCUGGAUACUGUGCGUUGUAAACCGAUAUACCUCUGUCAGCCUUCAUGCUGAAAAACGAAGUUCAUAUGUGUGUUGACCAUGUCCUCACUAUUUGGCUCUUGUAGAUACUGGGGCAACAAUCUCAGUGAUGAGCCUUAGUUUUAAAACUCUGCUGGGACAAAAAGUUGUUUUCCUGGAACAAAAAUGUCGUCGUUUUGUAGUGUAAGUGGUGACACAUUGUGCCGGGCCCGGCGUUUUUACAGCACAUGUUUGUUUGUCCGACAAAAUAUUUAUCACUGAAUUCGCCGUGAUCCCUCUAUCUAUGCAUGAAGUUAUUUCAGGCCUAGAUUUCUCACGGGAGUGUGGCGCUACAGUUGGCUGUCAAAGUGGGGAGCUUUCCGUACACUACGAGGUUAUUACCGGAUCCGGGGAGAACUGUUCCUCCAUUCUUCAGAGCAUGUUCAAUAUUCUCCAUGUUAUAUCCUUUUUAUAUCAGAUACAUUACACUUAUUGAUCAGCUUUGAAAGCUGUGCUAAGAAUACCACUCGCAAAUAAAUGUUCUCGCUCCUCCAACAA